UGUCCGAAUGGAUGCCAAGCGGGGCCCCAGUGCUGAUGCAUGCUUCGUCAAAUGCGAGCUGACAGCUUGUUAGGGGUCAGUUUGAUACAAUCACCAUCUCUGCUUCCAGGGCUGGAAGUGAUUUGCCUCGGCCCAUUAUGACGUGCGGCGGGGGCCCGGAGAACAAACACGCCGGUCGGGAGGGUGGAGGGGAGGCAUAUCAAGCAGGCUGCUUUUGGAGAUGAGAUUUCGCUGGGCACCGCCAAGACUCAAGGAAACAAUUCGGGAGUGAGCCGAUGAUUGCCCGUGAUUGCUCCAGAUCACAUUCUGCCUCAUGGAGAACAGCAGGCUUGAAAGUGAAGGAGCUCUCCCCGGAGGUCUGUGAUCCGGGGUGACCAGUGGAUUCCUGCUCAGCCUUCGAUGCUGAGAGAGGGGAAAGAGCUUGAUCUGUCUUUAUGCGCUUUUAAUUACAAGUGGCUGGCCGGGCCGCAACCUCCUGAGACCAGAGGUGAAGCCGUUGCGUCAGGACCAGCUGCCAUUCCGCUGGCAGCUCAAUAUCAACCUAAACAUCCCCUGAAACCCACGGGCGAGGAGGAGGAGGGUGGAAGAUCGGGGUUAAUGCAGGGAUCACAUGUGUAAGCAUAUCAGGCACGGACACCUGCCAAUCACAGGGGCGGCGGCAACAGGUCGGUUAUCUGCGUUCCAACGCAAUAAUAUUCCUCUGAGCUGCGGUUGGC